ACAUGGGGAAAAUUAGACAAAAUGCCUGCUUUGGGACAGUUUACUGGAAAUCCAGGGGUGAAGCAAAUUUCAUCGGACGCAACGCAAAUGUCUGAAGUGGCGGAACUGUUUUUCCACAAUUCACAAUUUGAGCAUCGUUGAUGUUCAAAGGAGACAUGGACAGGCUGUCCUACCACAUAACAAAUUUCAUCAGAAUUCUUCCAGUGUUGAUGAUGAUAAGGAUAAACAGAUGGACAGACAAAAAAUCUGGUUCUGUGGUAAUUUUAUGUACUUUCUGUGGCACUGGCAUGAAUAAUGUAUACAAAGACACAUGGCCAAAUAAACUUCAGCUACAACAACUUCAGGCUUGAAUGAUUUGCAUCUUCACAGUUGCUGCUUCUGCUAUAGUUGAAGCCAAAGUGAAGACUGACUACUACUGACGUCUUCGAAGGUCAAAAACAAACUGAACUCAUCUCCUGUUGAAGUUGGAGUUUCAUAACCUCGUCUCAGAUGUUGUUAUGCAACAAACCCUCUGUUGUCCUUUCAUCUCUGGGGAAACACAUUUGUUGUUUGGGCUGUUCCUAUGCAACGGCCCACUGUCAUUGCGUUUCCAUGAAAGUAUGCCUUCUGGAUUCAUGGCAUAUGAUAAUAUGUAUAAUCAUUUUGUCAUUUUUCACACAUAAUUACCAAUGAAUGGGUAAAUGAACUGAAGAAGAGAGAGAAGGAUGAAACCAGGCUUCCCAAAAGCUGCUUCCAUCAGACCCUGGUAGGAGAAAG